UACGGGGGGAGCAAGCGUUGUUCGGAUUUACUGGGCGUAAAGGGCGCGUAGGCGGCGUGACAAGUCACUUGUGAAAUCUCCGGGCUUAACUCGGAACGGUCAAGUGAUACUGUCGGACUAGAGUACAGAAGGGGCAACUGGAAUUCUCGGUGUAGCGGUGAAAUGCGUAGAUAUCGAGAGGAACACCUGCGGCGAAGGCGGGUUGCUGGACUGAUACUGACGCUGAGGCGCGAAAGCCAGGGGAGCGAACGGG
rnacentral:rRNA from 1 species